GACGAGCGCUGGCGGCGUGCUUAACACAUGCAAGUCGAACGGUGAAGCGCCUUCCUUUUUGGUGGGUGUGGAUGAGUGGCGAACGGGUGAGUAACACGUGAGUAGCCUGCCCCCUUCUUCUGGAUAACCGCAUGAAAGUUUGGCUAAUACGGGAUAUUCUGGGUCUGUCGCAUGAUGGGUCUGGGAAAGAUAUUGUUUCGGUGGGGGAUGGGCGCGCGGCCUAUCAGGUUGUUGGUGGGGUGAUGGCCUACCAAGGCGGUGACGGGUAGCCGGCCUGAGAGGGUGGACGGUCACACUGGGAAUGAGACACGGCCCAGACUCCUACGGGAGGCAGCAGUGGGGAAUAUUGCACAAUGGGCGCAAGCCUGAUGCAGCGACGCCGCGUGAGGGAUGGAGGCCUUCGGGUUGUGAACCUCUUUCGCCAGUGAAGCAGGCCUGCCUCGUUUGUGGGUGGGUUGACGGUAGCUGGAUAAGAAGCGCCGGCUAACUACGUG
rnacentral:rRNA from 1 species